UAUAUUAAGGUGUAAAAAUGUUGCAUAUAAAGUUUUGAUCUUUCAGGUGGUAGUUAAAAUCUAUUUAAUAUAA
rnacentral:tRNA from 1 species